rnacentral:misc_RNA from 1 species
ACUCUUCAACCCACCGGUUCCUUGUUGAACCGAGUUGGUGUUUGGAUUUUGAGCGUCUGCUUUUCAUUAAGCUCGCUCGUAAUACAUUAGCAUCUCAAUUUCGUAAUCGGAUUGACUCAGCGUAAUAGACUAUUCGCUGAGGACACUACUUGUUAGUGGCCGAAAAUGAAAAAGCUAGAAGCUUCCAACCCAUCUAGUCAUUUUUGA